AUUGAACGCUGGCGGUAUGCUUAAGACAUGCAAGUCGAACGGUAACAGACCUUCGGGUGCUGACGAGUGGCGGACGGGUGAGUAACACGUGGGAAUCUACCUUGUAGUGGGGGAUAAGCCAGGGAAACUUGGACUAAUACCGCAUACGCCCUAAGGGGGAAAGGAGCAAUUCGCUAUAAGAUGAGCCCGCGUCUGAUUAGCUAGUUGGUGAGGUAAAGGCUCACCAAGGCGACGAUCAGUAGCUGGUCUGAGAGGAUGACCAGCCACAUUGGGACUGAGACACGGCCCAGACUCCUACGGGAGGCAGCAGUCGGGAAUAUUGGACAAUGGGGGCAACCCUGAUCCAGCAAUACCGCGUGUGUGAAGAAGGCCUGCGGGUUGUAAAGCACUUUUAGUAGGGAAGAUAAUGACGUUACCUACAGAAAAGACACCGGCUAACUCCGUGCCAGCAGCCGCGGUAAGGCACGACUGU
rnacentral:rRNA from 1 species